rnacentral:tRNA from 1 species
GUCUUCGCGGUGUAAUGGUCAGCACACUCGACGCGUAUUCGAGAGGUCCGAGGUUCAAAUCCCGGCGAAGGGA